GACGGAGGGGGCUAGCGUUGUUCGGAAUCACUGGGCGUAAAGCGCGCGUAGGCGGCUGAUCAAGUUGGGCGUGAAAGCCCGGGGCUCAACCCCGGAAAUGCGCCCAAGACUGGUCAGCUGGAGACCGAGAGAGGGUGGUGGAAUUCCAAGUGUAGAGGUGAAAUUCGUAGAUAUUGGGAAGAACACCAGUGGCGAAGGCGGCCACCUGGCUCGGGUCUGACGCUGAGGCGAGAAAGCGUGGGGAGCAAACAGG
rnacentral:rRNA from 1 species